rnacentral:rRNA from 1 species
UUGAACGCUGGCGGCAUGCCUUACACAUGCAAGUCGAACGGCAGCACGGGGGCAACCCUGGUGGCGAGUGGCGAACGGGUGAGUAACACAUCGGAACGUACCCAGUUGUGGGGGAUAACCCAUCGAAAGGUGGGCUAAUACCGCAUGAUCUGGAGACAGCAAAGCGGGGGAUCGGAAACGACCUCGCGCGAUUGGAGCGGCCGAUGUCCGAUUAGCUAGUUGGUGGGGUAAAGGCCUACCAAGGCGACGAUCGGUAGCUGGUCUGAGAGGAUGAUCAGCCACACUGGGACUGAGACACGGCCCAGACUCCUACGGGAGGCAGCAGUGGGGAAUUUUGGACAAUGGGGGCAACCCUUGAUCCAGCCAUGCCGCGUGAGUGAAGAAGGCCUUCGGGUUGUAAAGCUCUUUCGGUAGGAACGAAACGGUUACGACUAAUACUCGUGACUAAUGACGGUACUUACAGAAGAAGCACCGGCUAACUACGUGCCAGCAGCCGCGGUAAUACGUAGGGUGCGAGCGUUAAUCGGAAUUACUGGGCGUAAAGCGUGCGCAGGCGGUUAUUUAAGUCGGGUGUGAAAGCCCUGGGCUUAACCUAGGAAUUGCGCUUGAGACUGGAUAGCUUGGAGUGCGGCAGAGGGAGGUGGAAUUCCACGUGUAGCAGUGAAAUGCGUAGAGAUGUGGAGGAACACCGAUGGCGAAGGCAGCCUCCUGGGCCAGCACUGACGCUCAUGCACGAAAGCGUGGGGAGCAAACAGGAUUAGAUACCCUGGUAGUCCACGCCCUAAACGAUGUCGACUGGUUGUUGGUGGGGUUAAACCCAUUAGUAACGAAGCUAACGCGUGAAGUCGACCGCCUGGGGAGUACGGCCGCAAGGUUAAAACUCAAAGGAAUUGACGGGGACCCGCACAAGCGGUGGAUGAUGUGGAUUAAUUCGAUGCAACGCGAAGAACUUUACCUACCCUUGACAUGUACCGAAUCCUGCUGAGAGGUGGGAGUGCCCGAAAGGGAGCGGUAACACAGGUGCUGCAUGGCUGUCGUCAGCUCGUGUCGUGAGAUGUUGGGUUAAGUCCCGCAACGAGCGCAACCCUUGUCACUAGUUGCUACGCAAGGGCACUCUAGUGAGACUGCCGGUGACAAACCGGAGGAAGGUGGGGAUGACGUCAAGUCCUCAUGGCCCUUAUGGGUAGGGCUUCACACGUCAUACAAUGGCGCAUACAGAGGGCUGCCAACCCGCGAGGGGGAGCCAAUCCCAGAAAGUGCGUCGUAGUCCGGAUCGCAGUCUGCAACUCGACUGCAUGAAGUCGGAAUCGCUUAGUAAUCGCGGAUCAGCAAUGUCGCGGUGAAUACGUUCCCGGGUCUUGUACACACCGCCCGUCACACCAUGGGAGUGGGUUUCACCAGAAGCCGGUUGCCUAACCGCAAGGGAGGCGCUGACCACGGUGAGAUUCAUGACUGGGGUG